CAUUAAGGGUGCGUUUGGUUCGCUGUAUUGGAUUAGAGGUGUAUUGGAUUAGAGGUGUAUUGGGAUUAGAGGUGUAUUGGAUUAGAGGUGUAAUAGCUAAUCCACUGUUUGGUUGAAUGUAAUGGAAUAGAGGCGUAAUAGUAAUCUUGUGUUUGGUUGAAUGGAAUAGAGGUGUAAUAGCAUAAUGGAAAAAACUAAAAUGACUAGAAUACCC
rnacentral:lncRNA from 1 species